rnacentral:rRNA from 1 species
AACGAACGCUGGCGGCAUGCCUAACACAUGCAAGUCGAACGGGACCUUCGGGUCUAGGGGCGCACGUGUGCUUACCACGGGGGGACCUGCCCUUAGGUUCGGAAUACCUCCCCGUGGGGGGUGCUAAUACCGGAUAAGGUCUUCCGACCAAAGAUUUAUCGCCAUUGGGUGGGGCCGCGUUGGAUUAGCUAGUGGGUAGGGUAAAAGCCUACCAAGGCGAGGAUCCUGGGCUGGUCGGAGAGGAGGCUCAGCCACACUGGGACUGAGACACGGCCCAGUCUCCUACGGGAGGGAGGAGUGGGGAAUAUUGGACGAUGGGCGAAAGCCUGAUCCAGCAAUGCCGGGUGAGUGAUGAAGGCCUUAGGGUUGUAAAGCUCUUUUAGCCGGGAUGAUAAUGACAGUACCGGGAGAAUAAGCACCGGCUAACUCCGUG